rnacentral:lncRNA from 1 species
UUGCAGAGGCAUAGAUGAAGCAGCAGGUGUUGAAAUUGAAUAUAUGUAAGAAGGUCUAGAUGCUGGAUUGGGAUUGCUGUAGUAACCAGGAGUGGCUGCCCAUGGUGGAGGGGGGUAGCUAGAGGAGUACCGAGGAAAUUGAGGUUGUGGAUGAGGUUCUAGCUGAUGUUGAGGUCGAAAAUGGGAUUGAGGUUGUGGUUGUGGUUGUGAUGCCGCUUGUGAAUAUUGGGACGGGGGUUGAGGCUGGAAACCAGGCUGAGGUGGGAACUGUGGCUGAGAUUGGAGUCCGGGUUGAGGCUGUGGUUGAGCCCAGGGAGCUAUAUAACUGUUGAAGGCUGG